rnacentral:rRNA from 1 species
UAUAACAUUAAACGACUCUCGGCAACGGAUAUCUCGGCUCUCGCAUCGAUGAAGAACGUAGCGAAAUGCGAUACUGGUGUGAAUUGCAGAAUCCCGUGAACCAUCGAGUCUUUGAACGCAAGUUGCGCCCGAAGCCUUUAGGUCGAGGGCACGCCUGCCUGGGCGUCACGC